GUUUGAUCCUGGCUCAGGACGAACGCUGGCGGCGUGCUUAACACAUGCAAGUCGAACGGAGUUAGUUAGGAAGCUUGCUUUUUAACUGACUUAGUGGCGGACGGGUGAGUAACGCGUGGGCAAUCUGCCCGUAAGAGGGGGAUAACACCUAGAAAUGGGUGCUAAUACCGCAUAACAUCAUUGGGUUGCAUGACUUGAUGAUCAAAGGAGCAAUCCGCUUACGGAUGAGCCCGCGUCUGAUUAGCUAGUUGGUGGGGUAACGGCCUACCAAGGCUUCGAUCAGUAGCCGGCCUGAGAGGGUGACCGGCCACACUGGAACUGAGACACGGUCCAGACUCCUACGGGAGGCAGCAGUGGGGAAUCUUCCGCAAUGGGCGAAAGCCUGACGGAGCAACGCCGCGUGAGUGAUGAAGGCCUUCGGGUUGUAAAACUCUGUCUUCAGGGAAGAAACAAAUGACGGUACCUGAGGAGGAAGCCACGGCUAACUACGUGCCAGCAGCCGCGGUAAUACGUAGGUGGCAAGCGUUGUCCGGAAUUACUGGGCGUAAAGAGCGCGUAGGCGGGAAUUUAAGUCAGGAGUGAAAACUACCGGCUCAACCGGUAGCCUGCUUUUGAAACUGAAUUUCUUGAGGGUAUGAGAGGAAAGCGGAAUUCCCAGUGUAGCGGUGAAAUGCGUAGAUAUUGGGAGGAACACCAGUGGCGAAGGCGGCUUUCUGGCAUACAACUGACGCUGAGGCGCGAAAGCGUGGGGAGCAAACGGGAUUAGAUACCCCGGUAGUCCACGCCGUAAACGAUGGGUACUAGGGUGUAGGAGGUAUCGACCCCUUCUGUGCCGUAGUUAACACAAUAAGUACCCCGCCUGGGGAGUACGGCCGCAAGGUUGAACUCAAAGGAAUUGAC
rnacentral:rRNA from 1 species